CCUACGGGAGGCAGCAGUGGGGAAUAUUGCACAAUGGGGGAAACCCUGAUGCAGCGACGCCGCGUGAGUGAAGAAGUAAUUCGUUAUGUAAAGCUCUAUCAGCAGGGAAGAAAAUGACGGUACCUGAGUAGGAAGCCCCGGCUAACGACGUGCCAGCAGCCGCGGUAUUACGUAGGGGGCAAGCGUUAUCCGGAUUUACUGGUUGUAAAGGGAGCGUAGACGGCAGUGCAAGUCUGGAGUGAAAGGCGGGGGCGCAACCCCCGGACUGCUCUGGAAACUGUACGGCUGGAGUGCAGGAGAGGUAAGUGGAAUCCCUAGUGUAGCGGUGAAAUGCGUAGAUAUUAGGAGGAACAUCAGUGGCGAAGGCGGCUUACUGGACUGUAACUGACGUUGAGGCUCGAAAGCGUGGGGAGCAAACAGGAUUAGAUACCCCAGUAGUC
rnacentral:rRNA from 1 species